CUGCGGAGGAUCAUUACCGAGAGGGGGGCUUCGUCCCCGCACCUUUCCACCCUAUGUGUAUCUUCCACUGUUGCUUUGGCGGGCCCCGGGGGGGUUCCUCCGGCGCCGGCCUCACCUAGGGGUCCGCGAGCGCUCGCCAGAGGCCUAUAAAAAAACCCGAUUCCAUCAGUGCAGUCAGAGUCGUCCAUAAAUUUAAUCAAAACUUUCAACAACGGAUCUCUUGGUUCUGGCAUCGAUGAAGAACGCAGCGAAAUGCGAUAAGUAAUGUGAAUUGCAGAAUUCAGUGAAUCAUCGAAUCUUUGAACGCACAUUGCGCCCUUUGGUAUUCCGAAGGGCAUGCCUGUCCGAGCGUCGUUACGCACCUCAAGCAUUGCUUGGUAUUGGGCGCUCGCUCCCCCUAUCUCGCGGGGAGCGCGCCCGAAAUCUAGUGGCGGUCCCGGUAGAUCUCGAGCGCAGUAAACACUUGUCCGCUUCCGAAGUCUGCCGCGGGCCUCGCCAGUAAACCUUCAUUACCCACGAGAUUGACCUCGGAUCAGGUAGGGAUACCCGCUGAACUUAAGCAUAUCAAUA
rnacentral:rRNA from 1 species